GGAGGGCGCAAGCGUUGUUCGGAAUUACUGGGCGUAAAGCGCGUGUAGGCGGACUCGGUAGUCGGGUGUGAAGGCCCUGGGCUCAACCCAGGAAGUGCGCCCGAAACCACGAGUCUUGAGGUCCGGAGGGGAUCGGGGAAUUCCCAGUGUAGAGGUGAAAUUCGUAGAUAUUGGGAGGAACACCGGCGGCGAAGGCGCCGAUCUGGACGGAUCCUGACGCUGAGACGCGAAAGCGUGGGUAGCAAACAGGAUUAGAUACCCUGGUAGUCCACGCUGUAAACGAUGUGCACUAGGUGUCGGGGGUAUUGGCCCCCCCUGGUGCCGACGCUAACGCAUUAAGUGCACCGCCUGGGAAGUACGGCCGCAAGGCUG
rnacentral:rRNA from 1 species